ACGGUACUCCUUCCGUUCCAUAAUUCUUGUCCAAAUCUUACAUGUAUUUAGACACUUUUUAAGAAUAAAUACAUUUAUUUUUAGACAAAUUUGAGACAAUAAUUGUGAAACGGAGGGAGUACGUA
rnacentral:pre_miRNA from 1 species